CAAAUACUCCCUUCGUUCGGAAUUACUUGUCAUAAAAAUGAUAAAAAUGAAUAUAUUUACAACUAAAAUACAUCUAGAUAUAUUUAUUUCUUGAACGAGUAAUUUCGAACGGAGGGAGUAGAUG
rfam:Triticum aestivum genome assembly, contig: Triticum_aestivum_CS42_TGACv1_scaffold_031204_1BL